UGGGGAAUUUUGGACAAUGGGCGAAAGCCUGAUCCAGCAAUGCCGCGUGUGUGAAGAAGGCCUUCGGGUUGUAAAGCACUUUUGUCCGGAAAGAAAUCCUUGGCUCUAAUACAGUCGGGGGAUGACGGUACCGGAAGAAUAAGCACCGGCUAACUACGUGCCAGCAGCCGCGGUAAUACGUAGGGUGCAAGCGUUAAUCGGAAUUACUGGGCGUAAAGCGUGCGCAGGCGGUUUGCUAAGACUGAUGUGAAAUCCCCGGGCUCAACCUGGGAACUGCAUUGGUGACUGGCAGGCUAGAGUAUGGCAGAGGGGGGUAGAAUUCCACGUGUAGCAGUGAAAUGCGUAGAGAUGUGGAGGAAUACCGAUGGCGAAGGCAGCCCCCUGGGCCAAUACUGACGCUCAUGCACGAAAGCGUGGGGAGCAAACAGGAUUAGAUACCCUGGUAGUCCACGCCCUAAACGAUGUCAACUAGUUGUUGGGGAUUCAUUUCCUUAGUAACGUAGCUAACGCGUGAAGUUGACCGCCUGGGGGAGUACGGUCGCAAGAUUAAAACUCAAAGGAAUUGACGGGGUCAUAGCUGUUUCCU
rnacentral:rRNA from 1 species